GUGGGGAAUAUUGCACAAUGGGCGCAAGCCUGAUGCAGCCAUGCCGCGUGUAUGAAGAAGGCCUUCGGGUUGUAAAGUACUUUCAGCGAGGAGGAAGGCAUUAAGGUUAAUAACCUUAGUGAUUGACGUUACUCGCAGAAGAAGCACCGGCUAACUCCGUGCCAGCAGCCGCGGUAAUACGGAGGGUGCAAGCGUUAAUCGGAAUUACUGGGCGUAAAGCGCACGCAGGCGGUCUGUCAAGUCGGAUGUGAAAUCCCCGGGCUCAACCUGGGAACUGCAUUCGAAACUGGCAGGCUAGAGUCUUGUAGAGGGGGGUAGAAUUCCAGGUGUAGCGGUGAAAUGCGUAGAGAUCUGGAGGAAUACCGGUGGCGAAGGCGGCCCCCUGGACAAAGACUGACGCUCAGGUGCGAAAGCGUGGGGAGCAAACAGGAUUAGAAACCCUAGUAGUCC
rnacentral:rRNA from 1 species